GAGGACCGACUGCUUUCCAGGCCAGCCCCAACGAUGCCCUGACUGUGACCGUCUCUGCCGAUCCGAUGCCUGUUAUGCAGCACACAAAGCCCUCACUGGAAACCAAGAGUUUUCACUUUGCGAUAGGGUAUACCAGUGCAGGGACUGCUGCCAAGUGAUUGAACGCCGUAAGUGCCCUAAAGAUCUGCAUAAGUGCGGUACCACCAAAUGUCCGUCUUGCGGCCAGUUUGUCGUGGCUGCUGAGCACCGUUGUUAUUUGCGACGUGUUGCUCCGAAGAAGUCUGAUGACAAGUUCAUCUUUUUUGACUUUGAAACGGACCAGUC